UACGAAGGGGGCUAGCGUUGCUCGGAUUUACUGGGCGUAAAGGGCGCGUAGGCGGUUUGCAUAGUCAGACGUGAAAUUCCUGGGCUUAACCUGGGGGCUGCGUUUGAUACAUGCAGGCUUGAGUUCGGAAGAGGGUCGUGGAAUUCCCAGUGUAGAGGUGAAAUUCGUAGAUAUUGGGAAGAACACCGGUGGCGAAGGCGGCGACCUGGUCCGAUACUGACGCUGAGGCGCGAAAGCGUGGGGAGCAAACAGG
rnacentral:rRNA from 1 species